UAUUGGGUGAUGUCGGUGAUCCCGUGCUGUCGAGAAAAGCCUCUAGCGAGUGCACAUACGGCCCGUACCCCAAACCGACACAGGUGGUCAGGUAGAGAAUACUAAGGCGUUCGGGUGAACUGUGGUUAAGGAACUCGGCAAAAUGCCCCCGUAACUUCGGGAGAAGGGGGGCCACCACCGGUGACGGGAGCUAGCCUCCGUGAGCUGGUGGUGGUCGCAGAGAAUAGAGGGAAGCGACUGUUUAUUAAAAACACAGGUCCGUGCGAAGACGAUAAGUUGAGGUAUACGGACUGACGCCUGCCCGGUGCUGGAAGGUUAAGAGGACCUGUUAGGACCCUUGUGGUCCGAAGCGGAGAAUUUAAGCCCCAGUAAACGGCGGUGGUAACUAUAACCAUCCUAAGGUAGCGAAAUUCCUUGUCGGGUAAGUUCCGACCUGCACGAAUGGCGUAACGACUUCCCUGCUGUCUCAACCACAGGCCCGGUGAAAUUGCAGUACGAGUAAAGAUGCUCGUUACGCGCGGCAGGACGAAAAGACCCCGGGACCUUCACUACAGCUUGGUAUUGGUGUUCGGUUCGGUUUGUGUAGGAUAGGUGGGAGACUGUGAACACACCACGCCAGUGGUGUGGGAGUCGUUGUUGAAAUACCACUCUGAUCGGAUUGGACACCUCAACCUUGGCCCAUGAUCUGGGUCGGGGACAGUGCCUGGUGGGUAGUUUAACUGGGGCGGUUGCCUCCUAAAGAGUAACGGAGGCGCCCAAAGGUUCCCUCAGCCUGGUUGGCAAUCAGGUGGCGAGUGUAAGUGCACAAGGGAGCUUGACUGUGAGACUGACAGGUCGAGCAGGGACGAAAGUCGGGACUAGUGAUCCGGCACCUACUCGUGGAUGUGGUGUCGCUCAACGGAUAAAAGGUACCCCGGGGAUAACAGGCUGAUCUUCCCCAAGAGUUCAUAUCGACGGGAUGGUUUGGCACCUCGAUGUCGGCUCGUCGCAUCCUGGGGCUGGAGUAGGUCCCAAGGGUUGGGCUGUUCGCCCAUUAAAGCGGCACGCGAGCUGGGUUUAGAACGUCGUGAGACAGUUCGGUCUCUAUCCGCCGCGCGCGUGGAAACCUGAGAAAGGCUGUCCCUAGUACGAGAGGACCGGGACGGACGUACCUCUAGUGUGCCAGUUGUCCCGCCAGGGGCACGGCUGGUUGGCUACGUACGGAAGGGAUAACCGCUGAAAGCAUCUAAGCGGGAAGCCUGUUUCAAGAUGAGGUUUCAUCAAUCAGGCCCCCCACAGACGAUGGGGUUGAUAGGCCAGAACUGGAACCACCGCAAGGUGAGGAGGUGACUGGUACUAAUCGGCCGAC
rnacentral:rRNA from 1 species